ACGUGAGUAACACUGCCCUUGACUUUGGGAUAACUUCAGGAAACUGGGGCUAAUACCGGAUAGGAGCUCCUGCUGCAUGGUGGGGGUUGGAAAGUUUCGGCGGUUGGGGAUGGACUCGCGGCUUAUCAGCUUGUUGGUGGGGUAGUGGCUUACCAAGGCUUUGACGGGUAGCCGGCCUGAGAGGGUGACCGGCCACAUUGGGACUGAGAUACGGCCCAG
rnacentral:rRNA from 1 species